rnacentral:lncRNA from 1 species
AUUAUUGAACAUGGCUGGAGGCGCCUGGAAAAGAUGAGACCAGAGGACAAAAUUCUGAACAUGGAAUUUUAGGAAGAGAGAAAUGGCUGCACAGAGUACGAUGGACUGAAAAAGGAUGGGAUGCUGGGGAUUUGGAUGCAGGUAAAUUGAAUACCACAAAUUGGGAUUUUCCAGUAAGAGGAUAUGAGCAGCUGGGCAGUGGCUGCAGAAGCACAGGGGAAGGGGAAGACGAAGAGGUAUCAUAGAGGAAGAGUUAACAAGAUAAUAUACCUAGAAGACAAGAGAAGAGGCAGUGAAAAACAGUUAGAUGAUCUGAUGACCAAAAGACUAAGAGAAAGACUUUUAAAGAAAGAUGGAGAACAAAAAACCCAGGAGGAGCCUUUCCUUAGUCUAUCUGUGAGCCAUAAUAUUGUCUAUUUAUGUGUUUUUAAAAUAUACAGUGAAAAAUUAUUUCUGUAUUCAGUGAAAUAUAUUAGCGGUGUGAAGAAGGAGGAACUCACCACCGUACUUAAAAUUCAAUUAGCUUGGCUCCAGGCUUGGCGUAAGAUUAUCUUGCAUAGUGAUUUUUUUUCUCUCCUUAAAUGCUCACAUUUUAUUCUCAACCAUUAAUAUAAAUGUUCAUGAUGAAAGAUCAAUAAAUGCCCUGGAAACUUUUUUUUUUUAAUUAAAGAAAUUUUGC